rnacentral:rRNA from 1 species
AGAGUUUGAUCCUGGCUCAGGACGAACGCUGGCGGCGUGCUUAACACAUGCAAGUCGAACGGAUGCUUUCUUGGUAGCAAUACCCUGGAAGUAUUAGUGGCGAACGGGUGAGUAACACGUGAGCAACCUGCCCUGAAGACGGGGAUAACAGUCGGAAACGACUGCUAAUACCCGAUGCCUUUCCCUGGUCGCAUGGCCGGGAAAAGAAAUGGAUUCCGCUUCAGGAGGGGCUCGCGGCCUAUCAGCUUGUUGGUGAGGUAACGGCUCACCAAGGCUUCGACGGGUAGCUGGUCUGAGAGGAUGAUCAGCCACACUGGGACUGAGACACGGCCCAGACUCCUACGGGAGGCAGCAGUGGGGAAUCUUGCGCAAUGGGCGAAAGCCUGACGCAGCAACGCCGCGUGGGGGACGAAGGCUCUCGGGUUGUAAACCCCUUUCGACAGGAACGAAAUUGACGGUACCUGGAGAAGAAGCCCCGGCUAACUACGUGCCAGCAGCCGCGGUAAUACGUAGGGGGCGAGCGUUGUCCGGAUUUAUUGGGCGUAAAGAGCUCGUAGGCGGUUACGUAAGUCGGGUGUGAAAGCCCCAGGCUCAACCUGGGGAUGCCACUCGAUACUGCGUUGACUAGAGUCUGGUAGGGGAUCACGGAAUUCCUGGUGUAGCGGUGAAAUGCGCAGAUAUCAGGAGGAACACCGGUGGCGAAGGCGGUGAUCUGGGCCAGUACUGACGCUGNNNAGCGAAAGCGUGGGUAGC